UGGGGAAUUUUGGACAAUGGGCGCAAGCCUGAUCCAGCAAUGCCGCGUACAGGAUGAAGGCCUUCGGGUUGUAAACUGCUUUUGUACGGAGCGAAAAGGUCUGCCCUAAUACGGUGGGCUCAUGACGGUACCGUAAGAAUAAGCACCGGCUAACUACGUGCCAGCAGCCGCGGUAAUACGUAGGGUGCGAGCGUUAAUCGGAAUUACUGGGCGUAAAGCGUGCGCAGGCGGUUAUAUAAGACAGGUGUGAAAUCCCCGGGCUCAACCUGGGACCUGCAUUUGUGACUGUAUAGCUAGAGUACGGUAGAGGGGGAUGGAAUUCCGCGUGUAGCAGUGAAAUGCGUAGAUAUGCGGAGGAACACCGAUGGCGAAGGCAAUCCCCUGGACCUGUACUGACGCUCAUGCACGAAAGCGUGGGGAGCAAACA
rnacentral:rRNA from 1 species